rnacentral:rRNA from 1 species
AAUCAACGCUGGCGGCGUGCCUAACACAUGCAAGUCGCACGAGAAAGGGGAGCAAUCCCUGAGUAAAGUGGCGCACGGGUGAGUAACACGUGAAUCAUCUACCUCCGAGUGGGAAUAACUGAGAGAAAUCUUAGCUAAUACCGCAUAACACUUACGAGUCAAAGCAGCAAUGCGCUUGGAGAGGAGUUCGCGGCCGAUUAGUUAGUUGGCGGGGUAANGGCCCACCAAGACGAUGAUCGGUAUCCGGCCUGAGAGGGCGCACGGACACACUGGAACUGAAACACGGUCAGACUCCUACGGGAGGCAGCAGUGGGGAAUUUUGCGCAAUGGGGGAACCCUGACGCAGCAACGCCGCGUGGAGA